rnacentral:tRNA from 1 species
CGCGGGGUAGGGCAGUUGGUAGCCUGCGAGGCUCAUAACCUCGAGGUCGCAGGUUCGAAUCCUGCCCCCGCCA